rnacentral:lncRNA from 1 species
AGACAUUUCUAAUCAAUUCCAGCAAUCCUUCCUCUUGACCCAGGAUAUUUAUGCCUCAGAGUCCUGUGCCCCAGGCAGCUGUUAGCAGAUGGGACGACUGAAUGAUGAAACCUCUUUGCUGUGUCUGGGGUGGUGAAGGGCAUAAGCUUUGCAGGCAAAUGUGUUUAGGAGGUUCAAAUCCCAGUUUUGCCACUUAGAAGUUGUGGGACAUAGAGCAAGAUACUUACAAUAUUUAGCCCUCCAGGUGAUUCUGAGGUGCAUUAAACUAUCCGAACUACAAGCCAGAAGGCAAAGGAGAGCGGCUGGGCAAGGAGAAGUGCGGGAGUGAGAUUGUGACCAAGUGGGGGCAGACCUGAUGAAAUUAGAGAAGGCACCUCCCCGUCAAGGAAGCGUUGCAUGUUCCCGUGGCAGAGGAUUUUCAGGCUGUGGAGAAAACAUAUUGAAGAUUAAAAUGAAAGUCAUUCAGAGUCGGAUGCCCCUAAACUGUGACCAUAAAAAAGCAGAGCUUCAAAGCUACUAAUUUGUGUGGUCUCCUGUGGGUGCGGCUUCGACCACCAGAGGGAGCUGUGGGAGCAAGUCACAAAAAUCCCAGACUGGACUAAGCAACCAGGAAACUUCGUUCUCAAGUAACUAGAAGUCUAGAAGAUCUUGCAACUGAUCUUCAGAGAGUGAAGCAGCUGGACUUGACUUUUUAGAUAGUUCAUGUGGGCAGUUGUGUGGAAAGCAGAUUCAAGAGAGGUGAUACUGAAGUCAAGAGGACCAGUGAGGAGAGUCAGCCAUCUAUCUGUCUCCUAAUAUCUACUUAGAUGUUACUGAUCUGCGAGAGUUAGCCGUGAAGUGCACUCUUGAAGAACAAACCUGUGAUGGAGAAAGAAAAUAGAUGUGGUGGUUCCAUUCCCAGAUAAGGGGUUGCCCAAAUGUAAUAUCAGUAGGAAGAAAGUCUCAUUUCUGCAGAGAGAGAGAGAGGUGCUCUCUUCCUUGAUGAUUCCACUUCCAAGGGAUGGCUCCCAGGUCCUUGAGAAAGACUUUCCUGGGCGGGAAAACUGGAAGCCAGGUCUCAGAAGUCUCCAACUGAUCUUCCCUUAACAGCGGGGGACCUCACGAUCAUCUGGCGAAGGGACUCUGACUUCCAGCCUCAUCCAACCAGGUGGAAACGAUUCCCUCUGCAGCCUGGUUUUCUGAAGCCCCGUGGGUGUAGAUCCUUGCAGUUUUCUGGCCCCAUCUCCAUCCUGGAGAGGAGAACAUUCACCUAAAUGACAUGCCCAGGACCAAAUGCAUCCACUUCUUCAGGCGAAAAACACGUUUUCAGCUCAGAGAUGAUUCCAUGAGACAAGAGGGUAGUAUCGGGGAGGGGGGAAGAGAAUCUUGUAGCCCAAAGACGGAAACCAGGGACAGAGUACCACCUUCCAGAAAUUACCAUCAUAAAGAGCCAAACCAGUGAGUGCUUGGCCGCCUGCGGCACAGCGGAAAACGGAAAUCUCCUUGGCUGGCGUUUUAGUUUGCCUAAGGGGCCGCGCUUUGCUCAGAGGGGAGGUGACUGUGCUGACCUUAAAAUCCAGACCUCGGGAAGCAGGAGAUGAAGGUAUUUUAUUUUCCCCUAAAGUCUUCGAUAUUUUUCAAAUAAAAAUUUAAAAGAUCCAGUACCUUCCCC